ACUCAAAUGAAUUGACGGGGGCUCACACAAGCGGUGGAGCAUGUGGCUUAAUUCGAGGCUACGCGAAGAACCUUAUCCUGGGCUUGACAUGUACCGGACAGCGGCGGAAACGUCGUCUCUCCCUUAAACAAGGAGUCGGUGCACAGGUGCUGCAUGGCUGUCGUCAGCUCGUGUCGUGAGAUGUCGGGUUAAGUCCCAUAACGAGCGAAACCCUUACCCUUAGUUGCUACCCUUACGGGAGGACUCUAGGGGGACUGCCGGUGUCAAACCGGAGGAAGGCGGGGAUGACGUCAAGUCCUCAUGGCCUUUAUGCCCAGGGCUGCACACGUGCUACAAUGGUACCUACAGAGGGGUGCAAAGUCGCGAGACCAAGCCGAUCCCAAAAAAGGUGCCCCAGUUCAGAUCGAAGGCUGCAACUCGCCUUCGUGAAGUUGGAAUCGCUAGUAAUCGCGGGUCAGCAACACCGCGGUGAAUGUGUUCCUGAGCCUUGCACACACCGCCCGU
rnacentral:rRNA from 1 species